CACGGGGGAGCAAGCGUUGUUCGGAUUCAUUGGGCGUAAGCGUGCGCAGGCGUUGCGUAAGACAGGUGUGAAAUCCCCGGGCUCAACCUGGGAAUUGCAUUCGAGACUGCGUAGCUAGGGUGCGGAAGAGGGAAGCGGAAUUUCCGGUGUGAGCGGUGAAAUGCGUAGAUAUCGGAAGGAACACCAGUGGCGAAAGCGGCUUCCUGGUCCAGCACCGACGUUCAGGCACGAAAGCGUGGGGAGCAAACAGGG
rnacentral:rRNA from 1 species